rnacentral:rRNA from 1 species
GACAGAGGGGGCAAGCGUUGCUCGGAAUUACUGGGCGUAAAGGGCGCGUAGGCGGGAUGGCAAGUCGGUCGUGAAAUCCCUCGGCUUAACCGAGGAACUGCCCUCCAAACUGCGUUGCUUGAGGCCGGGAGAGGUGAGUGGAAUUCCCAGUGUAGCGGUGAAAUGCGUAGAUAUUGGGAGGAACACCAGUGGCGAAGGCGGCUCACUGGACCGGUACUGACGCUGAUGCGCGAAAGCGUGGGGAGCAAACGGG